CUGUGUGCUCUAUGUGUUGUGUGGUGUGUGUGCUGUGUGCUCUGUGUGUUGUGUGGUGUGUGUGCUGUGUGUGGAGAGGGAAGCUCAUUGUGUAGGAAAUGAGACUUGCUGAGAGGAGAGGCAGCCACUGGCAACCCCCCAGUGAGGAGACCGACUAUGAAGCCGUCUGAGCUGAGUUCUGCAAAAUGAAAUUUUACUUUUUCCAUGUCGAGUCUUUCAGCCCUGGAAAGCGACCGAGACUGUGCACACAAUGACAACGUACUCACAAUGUGCUGCGCUGCAAAUACACCGUCCACGAUGGCGCAGCAGAAGGCGGCCACCACACCAAAACUGAUGAACACAAUCGCUGCCACCAGCUGCAACGGAAGAAGAGUGUGGGUGCCCAGCUUUUACCAACCCCGGCUUUCAAGUGCAAACCAGUUCAAAGUCCCAGCUCGAGGUCGAGGCUGUUUCGCAGAAUUGCCUCUUCUCACCUCUGCCUUUCGUCCUGGGACCUCCAGCCUGGCCAGGCCAGACUCCACCCUGUGGGUGGUCCUCAUGCGUCUGUCCCACAAGACCCACCCAGGCGCCUUCUGCACGGAAGGGCAUUGCCAUCCCCGGGCCCUCGGCAUGUGCCUCUGAGAAGCAACCUCUGAUGGCAGGUCGUAUGCACAACCCUAAUGUGUGUGCUCGUGACACACACACACGCAUGUGCACGCUUGCCACAGGCCUUAAAGUCAUCGGAUCAGCUUCACACACUGCUUUUGCACAAUCUGCUUUUCUUACCUAAUGGUCUUGGAGCUUGGAGCUAGCAAUGGUUUAUAGUGCAUUAGUGAACCGGUGCACACUGAUGGAGAUUUAAACAGUUGGCAAUUUCUUGCCACUACAAACUCUGCUAUAAAGCGGGGUGUCCUGCCCUAACCCUAAAAACUGGCAGGGAGUCUCCAUCCCCGUGGAUGCCCGACGGGGUGGGGGGGGCACGUGCUGUCAUUCUCUUCUCGGUGCCUGGCUCGGUACCAUGCUGGGCAGAGCAGACCCUCCUGAAUGGCCACUGAAAACUGUGGCCCCGAGGUGGCACCUCGCUUGGUUCCAUCCCGAUGCGAUGCUGAGUUGCCGGCUUGGGAAAGAGGUCCCAGUGACAAGCAGAACCCAUCGGUGACAGCAGAGGGAGGGCCUGCAGCUCGGGGGCUGUGGUGCUGCACGGGGACGUGGGAAGCCUAAGUCUGUUUGGACCCGUCCUGCACACCAGGCACGAGCAGGAGUGCUUGUCCGGACCACCGAGCUCUUGUCAGAGCAGAGCUGACUGAGCAGGGUGGUCUCCUCCUCCACAGACUCAUGAAGACACCCAGCAGAGGCGUCCCUAUCUUCCUUCUCCCCAGGGAGCCAAGUGUGGAGAGAGGAGUUUCAUCCACCGUGACCCUCACGUGGAACUGCCGUGGCCUCUUCCCCCCGAUGUCAGCGUGGCCCUGUGUGUCCAUCUCUGCCCCAGGCUGCACACCUAUUGUCGCCCGCAACCCAAACAGCAGCCAAAUCCAGCCCAUCUGCCACGGCUCUAACGCUACCCACUGGAUUCACAGGUGGGACGCGUUCCCAGCAGGCCCCACAGCAGCAGAAGGUGGCAGGUAGGGGCUGGCAGGUCCAAACCUUUCAAGCCAUGGGCCAGUGGUGGCCACCUGCCCCCCCACUUCUGACCCUCCACACCACAGGCCUGCUGGGGGUCCUCCCAGGAAGCCCCAUCAGAGCCGGUCCAGGGCGCCCCAUGCUGCUGGCCAAGCCCUUUUGCGGAGGAAAGUGCAGCUUUUUUUUUUAAACAGUGGGCACCCUCACUGCGAAUCUGGGUGUGUUUAUCCUUCAGCAGAGGAAGAGCUGUCAAUCGGUGGCUUCCUGGUGAGCCCACGCUAGACAGUCACAAAAGGCGCCUUGCAUUAAACAUGAGUGAUGAGGCAGCAGGGCUGGGGCAGCGGGCCAGAGAGCGACUCCACGAAAGUCAGUACAUCCUCGGGCGGGUCCCAGGCCGGCAUGGUCCCCCCGUGAGUUAGAAAGAGACGGUUCUUGCACCUUCUGGCACCUUUCUUCUAAGGAAACCUGCCACAGCAGAUCAGACGAGACGUUCUAAGAGCUCAGACAUCAAGCACGUGCACUUCCAAAAUACAUAUUUUAGGUUUACGAGAAGAGGCAGGUCUGAACAAAGCCUGGGCAGUUAGUAUGAAGCUGGCUGACUCCCCUGAGCUCUGGCCCCCAGUGGCUGUGUGAGGGGGCGGAAGGGGAUGUGGCCACCAGACCCAAGGGCAGCACAUGGGUUCUCGGAGUGGCCUUGAAUGGAGCCCUAGCUCUCGUACGCCCCCUGCCACCUCCCCAGGCAGAGCAGAGCAGAACAGAGCUGGCAUGCUGAGUUCUUCCGGAGGAUUCUCUGAACUGCUGGGCUGGACUUGCCCCUAGUGGUCCCUCAUUCCCCCUCUGGAAAGGGAAGUGCUGGGCUCACUGACUUAUUCACGAGCGUCACGGAUGCUCCAGCGUCCCCACGGGAUACGCAGCCCGGUGCUGCAGGCGCAGACGUGACAAAACAGGCGCAUACCCUCCCUUCCCGCGUCCCGCGUUUCUGGCAUUUUAUCGCCGAUUGCCUAAAAGAAAGUUGAGGUGCUCCCAGAAGGAAGCUGUGCAGAAAACCAUGGCUGCAUUAGCCUGAGUCUGAACCAACCGCUUGUUUCUAUUUGGACACUCUACAGGCUGUGGCAAUUUAAAAAUCUCCUCUUCUGCCUAAUUGCUCUGGUUCGAUUGACUAAACAUGACAGAGCCCAUCGCACGGCGCGGCUGCCCGGUGUGCUGCAGGAACAGACAGGAACCAAACUUGACUUAUGAAGCCAAUAAAGCUCUUGGAAACUGGCCUCCUGUUCUGCGUACACAGUCCCUGCACAGGCGUUCUGAUCUGUACUGUGCUUUCAGCCCUGUAAGCUGAAGACAGAUGCAUCCGCAGACGCUGCCUCUAAGCCCCUAAAACAGAGAGUGUUUCCAGGAACAAAUCCACCUCUUCCACUCCUAGAUGUAUCCACAGACGCUGCGUUCAGUGGCCUGUAAGGACGACUCUCUCUCAGCAGGAAGUAGCCAGAAAGAACAUGCCACACCUCACCCUUUUCAACUAUAGAGUCUGGAUUGACAGAGCAGGAACGUCGCCGUCUUGGACACACACCACCAUUUGAAGUUCUCCUUGAUUAAAAGCCCCCAAAAAUCCAGCCCCCAAAACAUCAACCUAAUGUCUAAUAUCAGUGUGACCAUAAACCACAAAUGACACCUUUGGCCAGAAACAUGCCAACCCCAAGACAGACUCCCCUCUGACCCGAAACCUUCCAACCCAGCCAUAAAAAUCCCCCCACCCCAAAACACUCCGAACCUGCGACAAGCUCUCCCUCCCUGAACCCUCAAAUACCCUUAGUCUGUAAGAGAGGACACUCUGGACCUAAAUAGGCCAGAAGGCCCUCUCGGGUUUAUUCUCCAAAAUAAACCUGUCUUUGUUGAGCUGCU